GACGAACGCUGGCGGCGUGCCUAAUACAUGCGAGUAGAACGCUGAAGGAGGAGCUUGCUUCUCCGGAUGAGUUGCGAACGGGUGAGUAACGCGUAGGUAACCUGCCUGGUAGCGGGGGAUAACUAUUGGAAACGAUAGCUAAUACCGCAUAACAGUAGAUGUUGCAUGACAUUUGCUUAAAAGGUGCAAUUGCAUCACUACCAGAUGGACCUGCGUUGUAUUAGCUAGUUGGUGAGGUAACGGCUCACCAAGGCGACGAUACAUAGCCGACCUGAGAGGGGGAUCGGCCACACUGGGACUGAGACACGGCCCAGACUCCUACGGGAGGCAGCAGUAGGGAAUCUUCGGCAAUGGACGGAAGUCUGACCGAGCAACGCCGCGUGAGUGAAGAAGGUUUUCGGAUCGUAAAGCUCUGUUGUAAGAGAAGAACGAGUGUGAGAGUGGAAAGUUCACACUGUGACGGUAUCUUACCAGAAAGGGACGGCUAACUACGUG
rnacentral:rRNA from 1 species